GACGAACGCUGGCGGCGUGCUUAACACAUGCAAGUCGAACGGAAAGGCCUCUUUCGGGGGGUACUCGAGUGGCGAACGGGUGAGUAACACGUGAGUAACCUGCCCUUGACUUUGGGAUAACUUCAGGAAACUGGGGCUAAUACCGGAUAGGAGCUCCUGCUGCAUGGUGGGGGUUGGAAAGUUUCGGCGGUUGGGGAUGGACUCGCGGCUUAUCAGCUUGUUGGUGGGGUAGUGGCUUACCAAGGCUUUGACGGGUAGCCGGCCUGAGAGGGUGACCGGCCACAUUGGGGCUGAGAUUCGGCCCAGACUCCUACGGGCGGCAGCAGUGGGGAAUAUUGCACAAUGGGUGGAAGCCUGAUGCAGCAACGCCGUGUGCGGGAUGACGGCCUUCGGGUUGUAAACCGCUUUCGCUCAUGACGAAGCUUUGUGUGACGGUAGUGGGUAAAGAAGCACCGGCUAACUACGUG
rnacentral:rRNA from 1 species